GGAUGUGGCUCAAGCGGUAGCGCGCUCGCCUGGCAUGCGUGCUUCAAGGGUUCGAUCCUCAGCAUCACA
rnacentral:tRNA from 1 species